AGCAACUCUGCUUGCGGGGCUGAUAAUUCUUGACUUCGCGGGCUCGAGCUCCUUCACGGUCGGCCAUCUUCCCGUCUUUAAACAAUCUUUGUGGAUUUGGUGUUGGAUGGACCAAUGGCAGCCUGUCCUGCAGCAGGCUAGAUCAACCUGACCUCGCUAUCACCACUUACCUGCCAAGACAGGUGACUCCUCGCUGCUCCUUAGCCACCACUCCACACACCGCCGCGCCGCUGCCACCACUCACCGCAACAACAAAUGAACUUUGCUUUCUGCCUUUGUACGGCGUCUCAUUUCCUUUCCUUCAAAGAAAUUGUCGUUUUCGUUGUAAAUGAGUUCUUUCUCGUGACUAUGAAGGACACGAAGACGCGUAGCAAAUGCGGGAGGGAAAGUUUUCAUUGUAGAUGGUGGGCAGAGGGGAAAAAAAAAAAAAAGGAUAAAUAACCUUCGGAACAAAAUAUUUUAUCAUGUGAUCAUUGUGAACACUUAUUUGCCAUUUAGGAUAUUCCAUUAAUUUAAUAAAAGUCUACAAUAUGGAAUGCAUUGCAAAUAUUGUACUGUAUUAUACUUAAACACUUGUAUUCUGCAUUUUUAGCUCAUUCUUUUAUAAGUGCAGACCAUAUACUGUAGUUGUUAGAAGUAAACUACCAAGCCUUCCAGUUCUUUUUUACAUCAGGAAUAUAUUCUGUAUUCCAUAAUCAAUUCCAUUGGACACUUUGUCUAUGGAUGAAAAAUCCCUUCCAUCCAACAUUCUGAUACAGACAUGCCUCACUCAAACAUCAUUCCUGCACUUUGUAAUGAGUAACUCAAGACUACUCUAACUCAUGAGGACUAGCUACACACUAGCUACACCAUGGGAAUGAGGCAUCAACAAGCUGGAAAGGAAGAAAUGAAACUUGAAGCAAUCUGGGCUGAGAUGAGCAACUACGAGC